UACGUAGGUGGCGAGCGUUGUCCGGAUUUACUGGGCGUAAAGGGAGCGUAGGCGGGCUUUUAAGUGAGAUGUGAAAUACUCGGGCUCAACUUGAGUGCUGCAUUUCAAACUGGAAGUCUAGAGUGCAGGAGAGGAGAAUGGAAUUCCUAAUGUAGCGGUGAAAUGCGUAGAGAUUAGGAAGAACACCAGUGGCGAAGGCGAUUCUCUGGACUGUAACUGACGCUGAGGCUCGAAAGCGUGGGGAGCAAACAGG
rnacentral:rRNA from 1 species